CGAACGCUGGCGGCAGGCUUAACACAUGCAAGUCGAACGCAUCCUUCGGGGUGAGUGGCAGACGGGUGAGUAACGCGUGGGAACGUGCCCCUCAGUUCGGAAUAACCCAGGGAAACUUGGGCUAAUACCGGAUACGUGCGAGAGCAGAAAGAUUUAUCGCUGAAGGAUCGGCCCGCGUCUGAUUAGCUGGUUGGUGGGGUAAUGGCCCACCAAGGCGACGAUCAGUAGCUGGUCUGAGAGGAUGAUCAGCCACAUUGGGACUGAGACACGGCCCAAACUCCUACGGGAGGCAGCAGUGGGGAAUAUUGGACAAUGGGCGCAAGCCUGAUCCAGCCAUGCCGCGUGAGUGAUGAAGGCCUUAGGGUUGUAAAGCUCUUUCGUCCGGGACGAUAAUGACGGUACCGGAAGAAGAAGCCCCGGCUAACUUCGUGCCAGCAGCCGCGGUAAUCUGAUGGCGCGAGG
rnacentral:rRNA from 1 species